CGCUACCCCGGCUGGCUCUCCGAGUGCUACCUCUACUUUAAGUAGAAGUACUUUUACUGACUUUGUAGAAGUGCUUCUGCUUGAAGUGGAGGUAGCACUUGGGGAGCCGGCCGGGGUAGAGGGAUUUUUUUUAUUUUUUUUUUCAA
rnacentral:sRNA from 1 species